rnacentral:rRNA from 1 species
CAGCAGCCACGGUAAUACAGAGGGUGCGAGCGUUAAUCGGAUUUACUGGGCGUAAAGCGUGCGUAGGCGGCUUUUUAAGUCGGAUGUGAAAUCCCUGAGCUUAACUUAGGAAUUGCAUUCGAUACUGGGAAGCUAGAGUAUGGGAGAGGAUGGUAGAAUUCCAGGUGUAGCGGUGAAAUGCGUAGAGAUCUGGAGGAAUACCGAUGGCGAAGGCAUCCAUCUGGCCUAAUACUGACGCUGAGGUACGAAAGCAUGGGGAGCAAACAGGAUUAGAUACCCGCGUAGUCCCUGUCUCUUAUAC